CCUACGGGUGGCAGCAGUGGGGAAUAUUGCACAAUGGGGGAAACCCUGAUGCAGCGACGCCGCGUGGGUGAAGAAGUAUUUCGGUAUGUAAAGCCCUAUCAGCAGGGAAGAAAGAAGACGGUACCUGACUAAGAAGCCCCGGCUAACUACGUGCCAGCAGCCGCGGUAAUACGUAGGGGGCGAGCGUUAUCCGGAUUCACUGGGUGUAAAGGGAGCGUAGACGGCCGUGCAAGCCAGGAGUGAAAGCCCGGGGCCCAACCCCGGGACUGCUCUUGGAACUGUGCGGCUGGAGUGCGGGAGGGGCAGGCGGAAUUCGUGGUGUAGCGGUGAAAUGCGUAGAUAUCAGGAGGAACACCGGCGGCGAAGGCGGCCUGCUGGACCGCGACUGACGUUGAGGCUCGAAAGCGUGGGGAGCGAACAGGAUUAGAUACCCGAGUAGUC
rnacentral:rRNA from 1 species